rnacentral:misc_RNA from 1 species
AAGGAGUCGAACAUUUAUGCGAGUGUUUGGGUGUCAAAACCUCCCGCGUAAUGAAAGUGAACGGAGGUGAGCGCCCUUACGGGUGCAUCAUCGACCGAUCCUGAUGUCUUCGGAUGGAUUUGAGUAAGAGCAUAACUGUUAGGACCCGAAAGAUGGUGAACUAUGCGUGGGUAGGGUGAAGCCAGGAGAAAUCCUGGUGGAGGCUCGCAGCGGUACUAACGUGCAAAUCGAUCGUCAGAUCUGCGCAUGGGGGCGAAAGACUAAUCGAACCAUCUAGUAGCUGGUUACC